UUCGGGUUGUAAUUCUCUUUCGGCCGGGACGAUUAUGACGGUACCUGUGGAAUAAGCUGCGGCUAACUACGUGCCAGCAGCCGCGGUAAUACGUAGGGGGCAAGCGUUGUUCGGAAUUACUGGGCGUAAAGGGUGUGUAAGCGGUUCUCUAAGUUUGGUGUGAAAUCUCCCGGCUCAACCCGGAGGGUGCGCCCAAAACUGAAGGGCUAGAGUGUGGGAGAGGAGAGUGGAAUUCCUGGUGUAGCGGUGAAAUGCGUAUAUAUCAGGAGGAACACCUGUGGUGUAAACGGCUCUCUGGACCAUUACUGACGCUGAGGCACGAAAGCGUGGGGAGCAAACAGGAUUAAAUACCCUGGUAGUCCACGCCCUAAACGAUGCAUAUUUGGUGUGGGUCGAUUCAAUUGAUCUGUGCCGGAGCUAACGCGUUAAAUAUGCCCCCUGGGGAGU
rnacentral:rRNA from 1 species